CCCUUAGACGCUCUAGGCGGCACGCGCGCUACAAUGGGUGGUAGAACGUGUAACUGCUCCCGAAAGGGAGGGUGAACCACGAAUACUUACCCGUGAAUGGGAUAGUUUGUUGCAAUUUUCGGACUUGAACUAGGAAUCCCUUGUAAGAAUGCUCAAGAAUAGCGUGCUGAAUACGUCCCUGCCGUUUGUACACACCGCCCGUCGUUUCUUCCGACUGAUACUCAUUGUGAGUUGCAAGGAUUCUUAUUGAAAAAUUGCUGCGAAUGCUUUGUAUUGGAGGAAAAAAAAGGCGGAACA
rnacentral:rRNA from 1 species